rnacentral:rRNA from 1 species
UACGAAGGGUGCAAGCGUUACUCGGAAUUACUGGGCGUAAAGCGUGCGUAGGCGGUUUGUUAAGUCCGUUGUGAAAGCCCUGGGCUCAACCUGGGAAUUGCAGUGGAUACUGGCGAGCUAGAGUGCGGUAGAGGAUGGUGGAAUUCCCGGUGUAGCGGUGAAAUGCGUAGAGAUCGGGAGGAACACCCGUGGCGAAGGCGGCCAUCUGGACCAGCACUGACACUGAGGCACGAAAGCGUGGGGAGCAAACAGG